UACGUAGGGUGCAAGCGUUAAUCGGAAUUACUGGGCGUAAAGCGUGCGCAGGCGGUGAUGUAAGACAGAUGUGAAAUCCCCGGGCUCAACCUGGGAACUGCAUUUGUGACUGCAUCGCUGGAGUGCGGCAGAGGGGGGAUGGAAUUCCGCGUGUAGCAGUGAAAUGCGUAGAUAUGCGGAGGAACACCGAUGGCGAAGGCAAUCCCCCUGGGCCUGCACUGACGCUCAUGCACAAAGCGUGGGGGAGCAAACAGGG
rnacentral:rRNA from 1 species